rnacentral:rRNA from 1 species
UAGGGAAUCUUCGGCAAUGGACGAAAGUCUGACCGAGCAACGCCGCGUGAGUGAAGAAGGUUUUCGGAUCGUAAAACUCUGUUGUUAGAGAAGAACAAGGACGUUAGUAACUGAACGUCCCCUGACGGUAUCUAACCAGAAAGCCACGGCUAACUACGUGCCAGCAGCCGCGGUAAUACGUAGGUGGCAAGCGUUGUCCGGAUUUAUUGGGCGUAAAGCGAGCGCAGGCGGUUUCUUAAGUCUGAUGUGAAAGCCCCCGGCUCAACCGGGGAGGGUCAUUGAAAACUGGGGGACUUGAGUGCAGAAGAGGAGAGUGGAAUUCCAUGUGUAGCGGUGAAAUGCGUAGAUAUAUGGAGGAACACCAGUGGCGAAGGCGGCUCUCUGGUCUGUAACUGACGCUGAGGCUCGAAAGCGUGGGGAGCAAACAGG